rnacentral:lncRNA from 1 species
UGAAAGGCAACAAGAAAAGAAGAAACUCAGCAAAGCCUGAUGGUAGUAAAGAAACACCAGAAAUUGCGUAUUUUGGUUUGGAUCGCCAAGGUCUCACAGAGGUGUGAGAAACGUGGGCACCAGCCUAUGGCACUGUUGGGAGCCGGUGUAACCUUUAAGAGGCGGGUCCUAUUUGGAAGGGAGACAUUUCAGGACCCUGGCUCCUCCUCUAACACUUUGUCCUCUCUCGGGAACACCUGACCAGCUGCCUCUUCCUCUCCAAGUGGAAGCAACGGAGAUAAUCG